UACGGAAGGCAGCAGUGGGGAAUAUUGCACAAUGGGCGAAAGCCUGAUGCAGCUAUGCCGCGUGUAUGAAGAAGGCCUUAGGGUUGUAAAGUACUUUCAUCGGGGAGGAAAAAACAAAACUAAUAAUUUUAUUUCUUGACGUUACCCGAAAAAGAAGCACCGGCUAACUCCGUGCCAGCAGCCGCGGUAAUACGGAGGGUGCUAGCGUUAAUCAGAAUUACUGGGCGUAAAGAGCACGUAGGUGGUUUUUUUAAAGUCAGAUGUGAAAUCCCUGGGCUUUAACCUAGGAACUGCAUUUUGAAACUGAAAUACUAGAGUAUCGUAGAGGGAGGUAGAAUUCUAGGUGUAGCGGUGAAAUGCGUAGAUAUCUGGAGGAAUACCUGUGGCGAAAGCGGCCUCCUAAACGAAUACUGACACUGAGGGUGCGAAAGCGUGGGGAGCGAAACAGGGAUUAGAUACC
rnacentral:rRNA from 1 species